rnacentral:tRNA from 1 species
UGGCGUAGUGGUUAAGCGCUAUGGCUGCUAACCAAGAGAUCGGCAGUUCAAAUCUGCC